rnacentral:lncRNA from 1 species
UGAUGCAAGAAAAUCUGAUCUCCUAAAAGGUUUUGUUACUGUAGCAGCAGCAGGUUCUUCAGUUCUGACAGUAACAGAGGAAGACUCAGUGUCUUCAUUGUUUUCUUCUUGUAAACUGGCAUCCGUACUGAGUACCGUGCUAUGUGAUGCGUUUCCAGGAGACGCCUGUUCACCAAAACUUUGGUCAGAUUCAACAGGAACUUCUAGCUGGACCUUCUCAGACUCCUUUGGGUUAGACACUGUGUCUUUCAAAGUCUGAACUUCUGUUGAAGUUGCCACAUGAUCUGUAUUUAAAAUCUCAUGGCUAACACCAGAUGAGAGUCUUGAAGAUCGCCUCCUGAUCUGGUCUUUUUCAUGGUUAUCUGAGGAGUUCUUCAAUUUUUCCUGAGACAAGUUUCUGUCUAUCCUGGGACGCUUUGAUGGAACUUCACCUCCUUUUGGUAUUUUCCGACGUCUCAACUCCAAGGCUAUGGGCUGCAGUGUCUGAGAACCAGGCUCUGUUGGAGGUGUAAUUGGUGGCCUUCCACGUUUUCGUUUUGUUUCUUUUACGUUUUCCUGUGGACUCUUUACAUUGUCAUUCUCAGGCUUCUUCUCAAUUUGUGUAUCUAUUGAAUAUUCCAUAUCAUUCUCUGAUAUAUUCUCCUUAUCUUCUUUUCCAUUCUUAGAUAUAUUCUUCUCUGAGACCUUGCCUUUUUCUGAAACGAUCAGUUUCCCCUCUUUAUCAGGUUGCUUAACCCUUUUUUCAGUCUUUAAUGUCUUUUCAUCCUUGUCUUUCUUUGCAUUACCUGUUGCUUUCCUCUGUUCUUUAAAUUUCUCCCGCUUUUCAGGAGAUGACGGAAUUUCAUUACCUCUUUCUUUGGGCUUAGCAUUACCCACAAUAUUCUGAUCUUUGGAAAAAGCUUUGACAUGAAUGUUUUUGACAGUCUGAACUACACCAUCA